rnacentral:rRNA from 1 species
AGAACGAACGCUGGCGGCAUGCCUAAUACAUGCAAGUCGAACGAACACUUCGGUGUUAGUGGCGCACGGGUGCGUAACGCGUGGGAAUCUGCCCUUGGGUUCGGAAUAACAGUUGGAAACGACUGCUAAUACCGGAUGAUAUCGAAAGAUCAAAGAUUUAUCGCCCAGGGAUGAGCCCGCGUAGGAUUAGCUAGUUGGUGAGGUAAAGGCUCACCAAGGCGACGAUCCUUAGCUGGUCUGAGAGGAUGAUCAGCCACACUGGGACUGAGACACGGCCCAGGACUCCGUACGGGAGGCAGCAGGUAGGGAAUA